UGGGGAAUAUUGGGCAAUGGGCGCAAGCCUGACCCAGCAAUGCCGCGUGAAGGAAGAAGGCCCUCGGGUUGUAAACUUCUUUUAUCAGGGACGAAGGAUGUGACGGUACCUGAUGAAUAAGCUCCGGCUAACUACGUGCCAGCAGCCGCGGUAAUACGUAGGGAGCAAGCGUUAUCCGGAUUUACUGGGUGUAAAGGGCGCGUAGGCGGGAUGGCAAGUCAGAUGUGAAAUCCAGGGGCUCAACCCCUGAACUGCAUUUGAAACUGUCGUUCUUGAGUACUGGAGAGGUUGACGGAAUUCCUA
rnacentral:rRNA from 1 species